CCCUAUUCUCAAUAUUUCUUUUUUUCUUUCUUUCUUUUAUUUUUUUUUUUUAAGUUUUUAUUUUUUUAUUUUACAGACAGCGAUCACAAGUAGGCAGAGAGGCAGGCAGAGAGAGAGAGAGGAGGAGGAAGCAGGCUCCCUACGGAGCAGAGAGCCCGAUGUGGGGCUCAAUCUCAGGACCCUGGGAUCAUGACCUGAGACGAAGGCAGAGACUUUAACCCACUGAGCCACCUAGGCGCCCCUGGAUACCACCUUUCUUUAACAUGCAUUUUAAUGGCUGGGUUCCUUUCCUUGCACAGAGUUUACAUGAAUGGUGAUGAAAGGGGUCUACUGGGCCCUCUCAUAUAUUCAAAGAAAUCAAGAUAACCAAGGCAUCAUUGGACACCUCUGUAAAAGUGCAGUCCAGCCCAGUGGAUGAACCAUUCCCGCCUACAGCCCCUCUGGACCUGUGGCAAGCCCCAGCGGUAAGAACUGCCAGCCCUGUUCGCUCUAACACUCUUGACAAAGAAGGGUUCAAUGGGUCUUUUCUAAAGAAGGGAUCAUUAGAACUCCCGUACCUGGAAGGAAAGUAGUCUUAUAACUCAGAUUUUUAGUAUUUAUUAUUGUGCCUAUGUUAAUCUCAAGAUGAAUGAUUAACAAGUGACCUUGGGGCUCCUGAUCUAAGAAACUGUCUUGCAGGCACUCGACCCUAUAGGGUUUCCUUUCACUGGUUGCCGAUUAAAACCUGAUCAGUCCUUCU
rnacentral:lncRNA from 1 species